rnacentral:rRNA from 1 species
CAGAGGGUGCGAGCGUUAAUCGGAAUUACUGGGCGUAAAGCGCGCGUAGGCGGCUUUGCAAGUCGGGUGUGAAAUCCCCAGGCUUAACCUGGGAACUGCAUUCGAGACUGCAUUGCUAGAGUAUGGGAGAGGGAAGUGGAAUUUCCGGUGUAGCGGUGAAAUGCGUAGAUAUCGGAAGGACAUCAGUGGCGAAAGCGACUUCCUGGACCAAUACUGACGCUCAUGUGCGAAAGCGUGGGGAGCAAACAGGAUUAGAUACCCUGGUAGUCCACGCCAUAAACGAUGAGAACUGGAUGUCGGAGGGUCUGCCUCUCGGUGUCGUAGCUAACGCGUUAAGUCUACCGCCUGGGGAUACGGCCGCAAGGUUG